GUUUAUCUCAGAGGAGUGAAUUUGAGAACACAAGGCUGGUUUGUAAUUCAUAUUAUCAUUUGUUGGUAUUUGGUGUGAAUCUACUUUGUGUUCUCAGGUCACCCCUUUGAGCCAACC
rnacentral:pre_miRNA from 1 species